rnacentral:rRNA from 1 species
GUGUCAGCCGCCGCGGUAAUACAGAGGUCUCAAGCGUUGUUCGGAUUCAUUGGGCGUAAAGGGUGCGUAGGUGGCGGGGUAAGUCUGGUGUGAAAUCUCGGGGCUCAACCCCGAAACUGCACUGGAUACUGCCUUGCUCGAGUACUGGAGAGGAGAUUGGAAUUUACGGUGUAGCAGUGAAAUGCGUAGAUAUCGUAAGGAAGACCAGUGGCGAAGGCGAAUCUCUGGACAGUUACUGACACUGAGGCACGAAGGCCAGGGGAGCAAACGGGAUUAGAAACCCUCGUAGUCC